CUUUGACUCUUUGGGCCAAAUAUUAACCCGAAAUGACCCAUAUUUUUAGCCUUACCCGAAAUGACCCAUAUUUGUAUCCUUUGAAACUUUUAGCUUAUUUUUCUUUUAACGGCUUCCUUCACGCCAUUUCUCAAUUUCUCUCCUUUCAAUAGGUGAGCGCGAAAAUGUGUUCAACUAAUCGUCAUGGUAAUAUGAAUGAGGACGACAUGAUUUUGAGACUCCUGUUGCUCCUCCUAAACAGGAAAGCAUUGGAAGGACUCGCUCGCAGGCGAAGCAAAUUGUUAAACCUGUUAAGGCUGGCAAGAGAAAGGCCAAGAACGACAAUCAAAAAAGUAAAAAGAAAAAGAAGAAAGUUCCCUCUCUAGCCGAAAAGAAGGAAAUUGCCUACAAAGAGAUAUGGAUUAAACUCAAUGGUAAUACCUUGCGGUUCGGCAUCAGAGAAUUUGCUUUGGUUACUGGGUUGAAGUGUUAUAAAGAUGAUAACACUAUGUAUGAUGAGCCAGAAGUCAAUAGGUUACUGAAAGAAUAUAUUUUCGGAGAUAGAGAAAAAUCAGUAACGAGGGAGAGUUUGCUUGAUCGUUUCAAACAAAAAGGCUGAAGUCAGAUGAGGAUGCGCUCAAAAUAGUCAUACUAGUAUUCGUCCACCAUUUCCUCUUCUCUGAUGCUACUAGGCAUAGCAUAUUAAAAAGGAUUUUGAUAUAGUUGAGAGUGGUCAGUAUCAGAGGUAUGCAUGGGGCACCAAAGUAUUUGAAGAAAUGUUCAGAACAAUGAGGGAUAAAUUGCGUGUCAAGUUGACAAUGUACAUGCUCGGAGGUUUGCCACUUGCAUUCCAAGUAUGGUUUUAUGAGUGCUGCUCCACAGUUGACAAAAAAUUUACUUCUCGUGUUGAAAAUUGUGUGCAACGCAUCUUUAACUGGAAAGACAAAGAAGGUUCGACGUUUGUGGACCUGACUAGUGGGAAACUCAUGACUAGUCUUUACCAGUUGAAGUACUAGAACAUUACCCGUACCUGUGAAGAAAAUUAAGGCUGAACAUCGGGGCAUUUCUAAAGAUGUCAAUUUUGAUGUUCCAUUGGAAGAGGUUCCUACCUUUAACAAUGAUCAUACAACGUUGCACCCCCAGUUCAUCCACAAAAUAUGGAGCAAUAACCUCGUCUGUGAUGCAAUACUUCUGCGAGCCCUGAUGGUUUAAAGGUUGAAAUUAAUGAGUUAAGGUUUGACCUAGGAAAGCUUACUGAAUAUGUUAUGGUACUUAACAAUUACGUGGUUUCUUCCUUGGAAAAACUCUUCAACUUGUUUGAUUCCAAGGCAACAAAGGAAAAGGGGGAUGGUGUUCCUGUUUCUGAGGUACGCUUUUUACAGAUUUUAUUUCCUUUUAUAUUUUAAAAAAUAAUAUGUAAUCUUUAUUCUGUGUUGUUUUAUUAUAAUUAUCAAAGUGUUGAUGAUGAUGAUACAUAUGAUCACGAUGGGUAUUAGUAUUUCAAUGAAAAUGACUUUACCAUGGAUAUUCCUGAUGGAAAUAUGCUUGCUGAGCAAACUAAGUCAAGUGUCAAGGCAAAUGAGGGAGUUACUAAUGGUGUUUCUGGUACAGUAUUCCCUCACCUUCUAGACUACAUAAUUAUAUUUUGUUUAUAUAACCUGUAAUAUAUAUUUUCUCUGUCUUAGAGGUAGCGAAAACACAUGUUGUAAAUGAUUCAAACAUUUGGUAUGACAAUGAACUCACUGAUGAAGUUUUGGCCAAGUCAAACAUGUCCUAAAUUGUUCUUCAUAGGCAACAUGCCAAAAAAGAAGAAGACAUGACACCCGAAGAAUUGACUUGGAAAAAAUUUCCAGCAAGAUGUGUUUCAUCUAUAUUUAUUGUAAAUUUUGUCUCUAAUAUACCUAGCACAUCUAAGUCAGAGCCCAAGUGCAUUUUUGAGGAGAAGUAUUCUUUUAUGAACAACAUUGAUGAGUUUGAUCCCUAUUCACUUGGGAGGAAGAGCAUUUUCUGAGUUUGUUGUUGAUGAGAUUGAUUUGGGGGAAGAGCAUUUUCUGAGUUUGUUGUUGAUGAGAUUGAGUCAUCACAAAGGUAGCUUCAUUGUUUUAGGAUUUAUGUAUUCUCUUACAAAGAUCUAUAUGUGUUGAUUAUUUUUCAUUUACAUGAUUCUAAAGCGCCAAAGAACUUUAUCCCGACGGAAAAAAUAAUCUGCCCGUGCCUUUUAUUUUUAGAUCAAUUUAUGUGACGAAGAGGGAUUGGUUCUACACGAAUUCAUACAGUGGUCAACUUUUGUCUGACGAGAUAUGUGAUUUUCUUACAAUUUUCAAUGCUUCUAUUUGUUUCCCGGAGUAAUGACGAAUAUAUUGAGUGCGACUUUAAGAGGGCUUAAGAUAUUGAAUUUAUAAACAAAAUUCAUAAUUAUCUAAUUAUAAUCAUCAAGAUAGUUAGGAUUAUGUAAUUAAUGGUACUUAAAUGUUUUUCUUUGAGAGGGUAUGUGAGUCUAGAACUUAGGAUUAGGAUAAUGGACUACUUGAGGAUUCACUAAAUUUAUGGCUAUUUUUGAUAGUUGCCAGUUUACGAACUUUCUUUGUAGUUGCUUUAAUUGUUGGUUGACUGUUUUUUCUAAACAAGUAUAACCAAUGUAUAGUUACUUCUAUUGUAUUGAUUCACUAAUGAUUGCUACUUUACUUCCAUUUUCCGGUCUCAGCACAUUGAUUUCAUAUUUUACUAUUUGAGGAAAAAGGCUAAAUAUGAUCCUAAUGUUGUUGUACGGUUCACAACAACUGACUCAUGUUUUGUUGGCAAGAUUACUGAAUUCUAUGAAAAUUAUGUAAAGAAUAACUAUGACACUGUUGUUAUUCGUGGAGUUAAUGCAAGAUCUCAUUAUAUUCAAGUCUUUUAUUGUGACGCAAAUGUGCCAUGGGACACAGUUGACCACGUGUUAAUUCCAAUUCAUGUUAAGCAUGUAAGAAAAGAUACAGGUCAAUUGUUCUUGGGUGUGCUUACAUUCAGUGAUUGGUUUAUCUACAUAUACGACUCUAACUGUGGUGCUCUGAAUGAUUCUAUGGUUACAAAAGAACUAUUUUCUUUUGCAUACAUGAUACCUCAAUUCUUGACAAGUACCGGAUUUUAUGGCAAGAUGAGCGACAUUGAUUUGAAAAAUGAUGCAUAUGCCGAUAGAGCACUAUCUGAAUCGUUGUUGGUCUAUUUGGUCCCUGAUCUUCCACCUCAGUUCUAUGCGUGAGUUCUUUUUUUUAUUUUUAUUCAGUUUUAAUCACAAUAUUUUAAUUUGUGUACCUACGGUAAUUUAUGGGAAAUUUGGUGCUUACACGAAUUACAAUGUUUUUAUUACUGCCUUUGCUGAGUAUUUCAUCAUGGGGAAAAUAGACAGGAAGAAUUUCGACAUCGACACAUAUCGCACAAGAAUGGAUCCUAGUUGUGACAAUAUGGAUUGAAGAAACAACAACUUGGUGUCGUGAGCGAUGAUGAGGUCAAGGGUAGGAUCAAAAGAGGGGGCGGGCAAGAAGGGCAAGAAAGCCAAAAAAGUAGUUCAUUGUAGUUUCACUAAGUAGGAGUAAUUGGCGUUCUAUUUUGGUAAAGAACCACUUUUGAUGAACCACAAUACAUUUUUGCUAUUCGCGAAAGCAAAAACUACUGUGACUAGUUAGUUGGUUAUGGAUAUCUGUGUAAUUGACUCUUGUGAAAUUCUUAAGGUUAUGGACGAAUUAUGGAAUAACAACAA